rnacentral:rRNA from 1 species
GACGAACGCUGGCGGCGUGCUUAACACAUGCAAGUCGAACGAUGAAGCCCAGCUUGCUGGGUGGAUUAGUGGCGAACGGGUGAGUAACACGUGAGUAACCUGCCCUUGACUCUGGGAUAAGCCUGGGAAACUGGGUCUAAUACCGGAUACGACCAUUGCCCGCAUGGGUUGGUGGUGGAAAGCUUUUGUGGUUUUGGAUGGACUCGCGGCCUAUCAGCUUGUUGGUGAGGUAAUGGCUCACCAAGGCGACGACGGGUAGCCGGCCUGAGAGGGUGACCGGCCACACUGGGACUGAGACACGGCCCAGACUCCUACGGGAGGCAGCAGUGGGGAAUAUUGCACAAUGGGCGAAAGCCUGAUGCAGCGACGCCGCGUGAGGGAUGACGACCUUCGGGUUGUAAACCUCUUUCAGUAGGGAAGAAGCGAGAGUGACGGUACCUGCAGAAGAAGCGCCGGCUAACUACGUG